GAUGAACGCUGGCGGCGUGCCUAAUACAUGCAAGUCGAGCGAACGGACGAGAAGCUUGCUUCUCUGAUGUUAGCGGCGGACGGGUGAGUAACACGUGGAUAACCUACCUAUAAGACUGGGAUAACUUCGGGAAACCGGAGCUAAUACCGGAUAAUAUUAUGAACCGCAUGGUUCAAAAGUGAAAGACGGUCUUGCUGUCACUUAUAGAUGGAUCCGCGCUGCAUUAGCUAGUUGGUAAGGUAACGGCUUACCAAGGCAACGAUGCAUAGCCGACCUGAGAGGGUGAUCGGCCACACUGGAACUGAGACACGGUCCAGACUCCGACGGGAGGCAGCAGUAGGGAAUCUUCCGCAAUGGGCGGAAGCCUGACGGAGCAACGCCGCGUGAGUGAUGAAGGUCUUCGGAUCGUAAAACUCUGUUAUUAGGGAAGAACAUAUGUGUAAGUAACUGUGCACAUCUUGACGGUACCUAAUCAGAAAGCCACGGCUAACUACGU
rnacentral:rRNA from 1 species